rnacentral:tRNA from 5 species
GCCCCGUUAGCUCAGUUGGUUCAGAGCGUUCGGCUUUUAACCGAAAUGUCGUGGGUUCGACCCCCACACGGGGCG